rnacentral:rRNA from 1 species
UACAGAGGUCUCAAGCGUUGUUCGGAUUCAUUGGGCGUAAAGGGUGUGUAGGUGGCGCGCUAAGUCGGGUGUGAAAUUUCGGAGCUUAACUCCGAAACUGCAUUCGAUACUGGCGUGCUUGAGGACUGGAGAGGAGACUGGAAUUCAUGGUGUAGCAGUGAAAUGCGUAGAGAUCAUGAGGAAGACCAGUGGCGAAGGCGGGUCACUGGACCGGAACUGACGCUGAGGCGCGAAAGCGUGGGGAGCAAACAGG